UGGGUCCCGCUCUCCACUGCCGACGACCACGGCGACGCCGUCAAUCGUCAUCCCGAGGAGCCGCCCUGUAGGAAUUUUCGAUACGUUCUGGAUCAGUUGAGGUAUCAGCUUUUGGGUUUUCUUUGGAAGAGGCAAGAAGACGGUGGUAUUGUGUUUUUCCUGAAGCGUACGGCAAGUAAAGUUUCAAGGAAGACGGCCAGUGGAAAUUGGUAGAUGAUCUAAAUUAGGUAAUUAUGGAGGCCAUGAUGACUGGUGUGAUAUAUGCAACUCUCAGGGUCAGAUGGAAGAUCAAAUGGAAUCACUUUGCCCACAUUUAGCUGCUAAAUUUAUUUAUUUAUUUAUUGGUGAAUUCAAGGACUUGCAAAUGCUGGAAAAACCUGGUUUGUGCAAUAGAUCAGUCAUGCAAAUUGCUUUUC